rnacentral:lncRNA from 1 species
GUCUCAAACUCGUGAGCUCAAGCGAUCCGCCCACCUCAGACUCCAAAGUGCUGAAAUUAUAGGCAUGAGCCACCAUGCCUGGUCAGCAUUGGGGAGUUUCAAGAACUAUUCCAGCAAAGGAGGGGAACUUCACCACCGCUGCAUGUCCUAGCCUUGGAAGUCAGGCAGCAUUGCUUCUGCUGUGUUCUCUUUGUUACAAAUAUUGAAAAUUUGCUACCUGCACCUGCUGUGUUCCCACCCUCUGGAGACCUGGGAACCUGGCUGCAGCCUGGGAAGGCUGGAGAAGCAGAUGGCAGCACCCACCAGCUCCUCUCCCUGUCCCACCUCUUCCCUGGGGAACCAGACCCUACCUGUGUGGUGGUGGGUGGGCUGAUUGUCAAGACAUGUGUCAUAUACAUUUUUAUCAAAAAUAAAGAAGUGACUAUGAAAAAAAAGAAAAUUUGAAAAGAUUAAAUUUUUAGAAAGGUGAUUGUAGAAAAU